rnacentral:pre_miRNA from 1 species
CAGGGAGUGAGGGGUGUCCCCUCAGCCAGGAUUGCAAGAGGGCGCAGCCCAGGCUGGGGGACCCCACCAGUGCAUG